UCCCAGAGAUGCUGACUCAGAAGGACUGAUUCUGAUGGUGAUGAAGAGGUUAAAAGACUCACAGAACAAUAAUGUGAGGCAUGGGAGAAUAUCCUCUGAAGAAUCAUCCAUUUCACACAAGAAAUCUUUAUCUUUCACCCAGAAUGACUGAAAGCUGAGUUGGAGAGUGUAUAGCUUUACUGGCAUUAAUCAGAGGCAAGAGAAAGAUCACCUGGAAGGUUCAUUGAUAUUUUAGAUCAAUGGUCUCCAAAGUGCUUGAAGAAGAUUGUUGUGGUCUGUCUCAUAUACGAUAUGGAAAAGAAUCUGCAAAGGUGGUGGUCA